UACGUAGGGGGCAAGCGUUGUCCGGAAUCAUUGGGCGUAAAGAGCGCGUAGGCGGUCCGGUAAGUCCGCUCUGAAAGUCCGGGGCUCAACCCCGGGAGGCGGGCGGAUACUGUCGGGCUAGAGUCCGGAAGAGGCGAGUGGAAUUCCUGGUGUAGCGGUGAAAUGCGCAGAUAUCAGGAGGAACACCAAUGGCGAAGGCGGCCUGCUGGGCAGUAGCUGACGCUGAGGCGCGACAGCGUGGGGAGCAAACAGG
rnacentral:rRNA from 1 species